rnacentral:rRNA from 1 species
AUUGAACGCUGGCGGCAUGCCUUACACAUGCAAGUCGAACGGUAACGGGCCUUCGGUUGCCGCCGUGUGGCUAACGGGUGAGUAAUACAUCGGAACGUGCCCGACCUUCGGUGAUAACGAGGCGAAAGCUUUGCUAAUACUGCUUACGACCUACGCAUUCUAGCCUGGGACUGGAAGGCCUUUGGCGGACGGCCCGUCCGAUGGCAGAUUCGGUAGUUGGUGGGAUAAAAUCUUACCAAGCCGACGAUAGGUAGCUGGUCUGCGAGGAUGAUCAGCCAAACUGGAACUGGAACAGGGCCAGGACUCCUCGGGGAGGCAGAAGUGGGGAAUUUUGGACAAUGGGGGCAAGCCUGAUGCAGACAUGCCGCGUGGAGGUUGCAGGCCUUGGGGUUGUAAGCUGCUUUUGUAGGGAACAAAAAGCCUUCUUUUAAUACAGGGGGGGCAUGACGGUACCGGAAGAAUAAGCACCGGCUAACUACGUG